rnacentral:lncRNA from 1 species
GCGGUGCGCGGACUCUGGGAGGCGAAGCUUAGGACGGGCCCACGUGGGGAGGGGCCCAGGGUCCGGGAGGCGGGGCCGAGUCCGGGCUGGGCUGCGCUCAGGAGGUGGGCCCUGGGAGGCGGAGCUUAGGGAGGGGCCGGUGUCGGGAGGGACCCAGGGACUGGGAGGCCGGUCGGGGCUGGGCUCGGGGGCCGAGACCUAGCUGGGCUUGGGGCGGGGCCGAGACGGAGCGAGGGGUCCAGGGUGUGGGAAACGGGGAGGGAUUUGAGGAGGGGAUCGGAAUGUGGCUCCAGUUCGGGAGGCGUUACCUGCGGAGGGUUUGAGGAAGGCCCAGGAGCGAGCCCAUGGUCUUCCGACGCGGGGCCAGGGGCGGGCCCCAGGAUCCGGAGCUUCGGGGGGGCCGAGUCCGGGUUUGGGGCCCGGGAGGCGGGGCCAGUUAGGUCGAGGGUCCCUGGGAUCGUCGGGUCAGGCCUUGGGCUAACGUAGGCACUCUCGCAGUUCCUCCGCCUUCAGGAAGGUCUUUUUAGCAGGGGCCUUACGGGUGCAUGCUUCGGUCCUGGAGGACUUAGGCUAGCCUCCUCUCCAUCAGCGCCACCCGUCUGGGGCCCGAAAGGAGGGAGCUUUCCCUCUGUCCCCCAGCCUUUGGACUGUCACCAAACAAGCCAUUCGUUCACCAAAUACUUUUUAAGCGCCUACCAUGUGCCUGACAAGGGAUAUGUAACGGUGAGAAAAACUAGGUGUGGUCCAGGCCCUUCAGGGACUCAGGGGCUCGUGGAAGAAGUGGAUAUUGAAGUACUUAUCACACAAAGGAGGAUAAAAGUACGAUAGCGAUAUCUACCACGAAGCUGUUGUUCCACACCAGAACCAAAUGAGCGCAAGAUCUGACAAAAAAAAAAGUCCCUGUAUCCUGAGAUGGAGUCACCUGAGAAUCCACAGCAAGUCCUAACCAGGGAUGGGUCUGGGUGAUUAAGGAAGAUUGGCUUCAGAACUGGGCCAGGGGCACUGCUUUGCUUUUGCUGUUUUGAUCAGCUCUCUGCCUGCAGGAGACGAGGAAAACCAAUGGGAACAGCUGGGGAAACUGAGUUACAGAGCUUUUCUGCACUGAGUCAUCAGGAGCAAAUGCUAGAUCAGGGUCUCUCUCUCUGCCACUCAGGCCAGAGUGCAGUUGACGCAGAGCAGGGGAGCCCUGAAAUGGAGCAUAGUGUGUCCGGAACUGGUGGGUUCUUGGUCUCACUGACUUCAAGAAUGAAGCUGCGGACCCUCGGGA